UAGGGCUUGAGGUUUAGGUGUCUGACUCCGUUCCGUACAGCGAUGACCGAAGCGUGGGAGCGUGCCGUAGCGGCGGCGCUGAAGGGGAGGUCGGAGCCGCCGCGGGCCCUCACGCUCGAUUGCGCCGUGAAGUGCCCCAGCGGCCGCCUCCCGCCGCCGUCCUUCUUUGAGGGGAGGUUCGCCGCCCUGGAGCACCUUUCCGUCGCCAACGUUCGUCUCUCCUCCCUCGAGGGCUUUCCCUGCCUUCCGGCUCUCCGCCGGCUCGUCCUCUCCGACAACCGCAUCGUCGGCGGGCUCCACGCCCUGGUCGAUGCCCGGCUUGACGCCCUCCGCGACCUCGACCUCUCUAACAACCGCAUCGCGUCGGUCGAGGACCUCGCCCCGCUUGCAAAGCUCCGGCUGGAGUCGCUGGACCUAUAUGAGUGCCCGGUGACCAAGAUCGAGGGAUACCGAUCCAAAGUUUUCGGCUUGUUCGGAUCUCUGAAGUAUUUGGAUAAGGCAGACGCAAAUGGGAAUGAGCGGACGGAGACUGACGAUGAGGAGGAGGAAGAUGAAGAGGAAGAAGAGGGUGAUGAUGAGGAGGAUGAAGACGACGAAAUUGUAGACGAGGAAGAAGAAGAAGAAGAAGAAGGCGACGAUGGAGAUGAAGAAGGAGAAGAAUCAGAUGAGGACGAGGAGGACGAAGGAGAUGAGCAGAAUGGAAUCGAGGAUGAGGGCAACAAUGGAACAGCCAAUGCAGAGCAUAAAAAUAAAAAUGCAAAUGGAGGAAGCAAAAAUGGCCCCGGUGGUGAGCAUGAUCAGGUGAAGCAUCAAAACAAUGGUGUCCUUCAACAUAAAUCUUCCAGGAAGAGGGAGAGGGACGAUGACGCAUGAAAAAUUAUGUGAACCUGUGGCUGCUGCAUCACCGAAAGUGAGAACAAGUGUAUGGCGCUGUAACGUGGACACCGAGGACGAUGAGCGGAUCAACUCAUGACCUGCAUAAGAACUUGCAAGACGAGCUUGUUGGCUUUUGGAGUACUCCAUGUCACAGCCACAUCAUAUGAAAUAUAUUCUAGUAGGUAAUAAUAUAUGUCAUCUACCAUACAUAUUAUGUUUUGAGCAAUACCUUUGUAUUUGUAACGUAUUAUAAAGCCUCUGUUUGCUUCUUCCAAA